rnacentral:rRNA from 1 species
GGGACACGUGGUAUCCUGUCUGAAUAUGGGGGGACCAUCCUCCAAGGCUAAAUACUCCUGACUGACCGAUAGUGAACCAGUACCGUGAGGGAAAGGCGAAAAGAACCCCGGCGAGGGGAGUGAAAAAGAACCUGAAACCGUGUACGUACAAGCAGUGGGAGCACGCUUAGGCGUGUGACUGCGUACCUUUUGUAUAAUGGGUCAGCGACUUAUAUUCUGUAGCAAGGUUAACCGAAUAGGGGAGCCGAAGGGAAACCGAGUCUUAACUGGGCGUUAAGUUGCAGGGUAUAGACCCGAAACCCGGUGAUCUAGCCAUGGGCAGGUUGAAGGUUGGGUAACACUAACUGGAGGACCGAACCGACUAAUGUUGAAAAAUUAGCGGAUGACUUGUGGCUGGGGGUGAAAGGCCAAUCAAACCGGGAGAUAGCUGGUUCUCCCCGAAAGCUAUUUAGGUAGCGCCUCGUGAAUUCAUCUCCGGGGGUAGAGCACUGUUUCGGCAAGGGGGUCAUCCCGACUUACCAACCCGAUGCAAACUGCGAAUACCGGAGAAUGUUAUCACGGGAGACACACGGCGGGUGCUAACGUCCGUCGUGAAGAGGGAAACAACCCAGACCGCCAGCUAAGGUCCCAAAGUCAUGGUUAAGUGGGAAACGAUGUGGGAAGGCCCAGACAGCCAGGAUGUUGGCUUAGAAGCAGCCAUCAUUUAAAGAAAGCGUAAUAGCUCACUGGUCGAGUCGGCCUGCGCGGAAGAUGUAACGGGGCUAAACCAUGCACCGAAGCUGCGGCAGCGACGCUUAUGCGUUGUUGGGUAGGGGAGCGUUCUGUAAGCCUGUGAAGGUGUGCUGUGAGGCAUGCUGGAGGUAUCAGAAGUGCGAAUGCUGACAUAAGUAACGAUAAAGC